UGAAAGGACACAUAAUGAAGCAUUCUUU
rnacentral:piRNA from 1 species